CCUUUGACGUUAGCGGCGGACGGGUGAGUAACACGUGGGUAACCUACCUAUAAGACUGGGAUAACUUCGGGAAACCGGAGCUAAUACCGGAUAAUAUUUCGAACCGCAUGGUUCGAUAGUGAAAGAUGGUUUUGCUAUCACUUAUAGAUGGACCCGCGCCGUAUUAGCUAGUUGGUAAGGUAACGGCUUACCAAGGCGACGAUACGUAGCCGACCUGAGAGGGUGAUCGGCCACACUGGAACUGAGACGACGGUCCAGACUCCUACGGGAGGCAGCAGAC
rnacentral:rRNA from 1 species